CAGACAGUUGGGAGGGGGAAACUAGGUAGGUUGAUGGUGGUCACAGGAUCCUUUCACUGUGCAAUGAGUGGUGUUGAGUUAGAUGCCCUCAUCCCAAGGAGCAUAGAGCAUUGACCCAGGGACAUGAGCUAUCAAAAGGCUGCCCGGGCUCCAAUCCCAGCAUCUCCACUUACCAUCCAUGUGAUCUUGGGCAAAUUAAUAAGUCUCUUUGCCUCGUUUUCUCAUCUGUUAAGUGGGAAUAAUACGAUUACUGAGCCUCCUAGGGUUUGUAUGAGCAUUAAAUGAGCUAAUGCAUACUCAAUACUUAUUCCUUGAAUGUUGAAUGAAUAGGUCUAUGUCUCCCUCCAGACAAAGUGUGUAUACCAUGAUUCAUCUUUGUGACUCUAGCAGCCAAACAUACAUUGUGCCAGAACUUUCAGCUACAAGCAUUUUCCUCCACCUUCCUCUUUUGGGAGAAAGACGCAACAGUUCUGUGGAGAGCAUCAUAAUUCAGAGGACAUGCAGGAACCUCAGCCAACAACACAAACUUCAGGACCAAGCAUGAUGUUAACAUUUUCAAUAGCAGGGCUUGUAGGGGGCAGGAAGAAGAGGAGACAAGAAGUCAAGACUCCUAAUCUCAGCUCCGCAUGAAUGGAAAAACCUCUUUAUGCUUCUGUUAUUUUCUUCCAUAAAAGUAGAUUGGGGAAAGAGUAUAGUUGUUCUUCAAAAAGUAAAUAUAAAACUACCAUAUAACCUAGCAAUUCCACUCCUAGGUAUAUACACAAAAGAAUUGAAAACUGAUACUUAAACAAACAUAUAUACAUGCAUGUUCAUAGCAGCACUAUUCCCAAUAGCCAAAAGGUGGAAACAACCCAAACAUCCCUCAGUGGACAAAUGGAUAAGCAAAUUGUGGUACUUCCUUGCAAUUGAAUAUUAUUCAGGUAUUGAAAGCAAUGAAGUACUGAUGCAUGCUACAACCUGGAUGGACCUCAAAAACAUUAUGCUAAAUGAAAGAAGCAUAGGUCACAUGGUACAUGAUUCCAAUUAUAUGAAAUGUCCAGAAUAGAUAAGUUCAUAGAGACAGAAAGUGUGUCGGUGGUUGCCACAGGUUGGGGGAGAAAGAAAUGGGGAGUAACUGCUUACUGGGAUAGUUUUCUCUUGGGUGAUAGAAGUAUUUGGAACUUGAUAGAGGUGGUGGUCACACAACAUUGUGAAUGUACUGAAGGCCACUAGAUUGUUCACGUUAAAAUCAUUCAUUUUAUGCUAUGUGAAUUUCACUUCAACAACAAAUAAAAAUUUUAAAAAGUAAAUUAUAGGGUAGGGAGAAAAUAGGUUAUAUACAAUUGGAGGGAUGUCGGAUUUCAGAAAUGACUUUCCUUUCACCACGAGAUAGCCUCUCCCAUGUGGAUGAUGAGCUUGGAUCUUUCUGCCUAGACUCAUCCUCUGAAUCAAGGUGUCUAAGGAUUUAAUCUGCCAGACCCCAGGGUGCAGAGGGUGGAGCCUCAAGGCUAGUGCAGGAGAAAGGUACCAAUGCCCCAGGCCAGACGUUACAGUCUCUCUGCCUUAUGGAAUUUCCUGGACCCUGUCCCAGUACUUCAGACCCCUGGCCUCAAGAGGUUUUAGUGUCAUAGUGUUGUGUUGUCAAGUCCUUUGGCUCAGCCCUAACUUAAGAGCAUGUUUCACUUCCUCAUUAGUUUACAAAUAGGGACUUAUUUGUAGGUGUACCUGUAAAGAGAAGGUAAAAUAAAAACAAAAUUUAAAAUAAAAUCCAAAUAUUUAUUUCUAUAAUUUGUUGUAUUUUAUAUAAUAUUAAUACAUGUAUUUUAUUUUAUAAGAAAUAAAAUAUACAAAAAAGCAAAUAAAAACUUCUGUCACAUUGCAA